rnacentral:pre_miRNA from 1 species
CAACUACUCCCUCUGUUCCAAAUUUCUUGUCUUAGAUUUGUCUAGAUACGAAUGUAUCUAAUACUAAAAUGUGACUUGAUACAUCCGUAUCUAGACAAAUCUAAGACAAAAUUUUGGGACGGAGGGAGUACUUU